CCUACGGGAGGCAGCAGUGGGGAAUAUUGCACAAUGGGGGAAACCCUGAUGCAGCAACGCCGCGUGAGCGAUGAAGGCCUUCGGGUCGUACAGCUCUGUCCUAAGGGAAGAAUACUGACGGUUGCGCAGGAGGAAGCCCCGGCUAACUACGUGCCAGAAGCCGCGGUAAUAUGUAGGGGCCUCGCGUUAUCCGCGAUUACUUGGCGUAAAGGGUGCGUAGGCGGCCCUGCAGGUCAGAGGUGAAAGGCUACGGCUGAACUGUAGUAAGCCUUUGAAGCUGUAGGGCUUGAGUGCAGGGGAGGGAAGGGGAGUUGCGAGUGUAGGGGGGAGAUGCGUAGGUAUGGGGAAGGACAGCAGUUGUGAAGGCGGCUCUCUGGACUGUAACUGACGCUGAGGGACGAAGGCGUGGAGUGCGAACAGGAUUAGAUACCCGUGUAGUC
rnacentral:rRNA from 1 species